AAGGUUUUAAGUUAAAAAAAACUAAUAGCCUUCAAAGCUGGAAAUAAAAAUUCAUUUUAAACCUUA
rnacentral:tRNA from 1 species